CAUGGUCAUAGGAUUAAUUAUUUUUUCACUCGAGAAUUAAAGUGGUGUUUACGGUAAAACGGAAAUAGACCAGGUUUGCUUGUAAUUAAAAACAUUAAUUUAACUUCAAUUCAAAAUUUUAAGUUAACUUUAAUUAGAUUUCGUUGAAUAAUUGAUUAAAAUUUCAAUCGAUUGAUUAAAAUAAUUGUUCGUUUCUUCUAAUAAAAUCCAGUGAUAUGUCAACAGAAUGGUAUUUAAUCAAAGAAAAUUGUUUUAACACUCUUGUGGAAUUCAAUUGUUGUUAGAAAUAUGGACAGAGAUUAAUAAAUGAUAUAGAAAAUUUCUAGCUAUUCAUUGUAAAUUAAAAGGACAAUUGGGAUAUUUAAAUAGAAUGGAAUGGAAAGUUUGUUCAGGGAUAUUGUGCUAAUAAUAUAAAAAUACUUUUGGAGUUCCAUAGAAUCGUUUUAGGGAAUAUCUGCUUCAAUAUUCUCAUUUUUGCAUUUGCCGUUGUAAAGAUUGAUAAGAUCCAGAUUCUGAAUAAUUAAAUAAAAUGCCAAAUGGAUGCACGAGGAUGAAAAAUGAAAAUAACUCGAAAAAUAUCAUACCUACUUAUAAAGAAAAACAUAGUGAUCUAAAGCGGAAAUUACGGUACCUUAUUUAUGAAAACGAGUGCCUUCAUGAAACGCUUAGAUCUAUUCAACGCCAACUUUUAAAAACUAAUAGAGAUACUAAAUUCCUGUUAGAUCGAAUUCUACAGUAUGAAAAAAUAUUUGCAGUCCUUAGUGAAAAUGAUGACGAAACUGAUACAUCAGAAGACGAAAACUUAAAUUUAAAUAGCCUAUAAACUUUACUUUAAAAUUUACAACAGAUUUAAAAAUACCUAUUUAUUUUCUUGAUAAUUGAUACCAAUGUUUAAUAAAGUAAUAAAAAUGUUCUUAUUCUAUUUA